UGUGGCUGGUCCCGGGGGGGUGGAGUCACGCGCAGUGACGUUGAGUGCCAGCAAAAGGGAAGGAGAGGAUCCGCCUUGUCUCUGACGGAAGAGGAGCGGUUCUUUGUCAGGGGAAGACAACGGCAACUCGUUAGUAAGGUCUGAGAAUUGUAUAAACAGCUGCCUUAAAAUCACCAGAAGUCACACUGAGGGAAUCUGUUUCUUUUAUCUACAGACAUGCUGGAUAUGGGGGAGGAGAGUCUGUGUAUCCCUUUUAGUAUUUAAAUACACACAGUACUUCCGUAAGUCUCAGUUUUUCUACACACCGUAUUUCUGUUAAUUUUGGUUCCUAUUCUAUUACUGAAAUUUAUAUUCUAGGCCAGGGCUGCCAAGCUUCCUGCCCACGUGCUGGAUGCAUCAUGUACUGGCCACGCCCAUUCUAGCAUGGGGGGGGGAGUCCCAAUACGUCAUGUGAUGCCACCAUGACAAUGUGAGUUUGAUACUCCUGCUCUAGGCUAAUCAAAGCCUCUGGACAAUUCAAACACUGAUGGCAUCAAAAUGCAAUGAUGCAAUUAGGUGCCUUAUGUGCCAGAAUUGCUUUUAUGGUUCUGCGGUUUUAUUCCAUAAAGAUGAUAGCCGCAAAGUACAGAUAAUCUCUGACUUACAACAGUUCAUUUAGUG